CAAGUCGAACGGUAGCACAGAGAGCUUGCUCUCGGGUGACGAGUGGCGGACGGGUGAGUAAUGUCUGGGAAACUGCCUGAUGGAGGGGGAUAACUACUGGAAACGGUAGCUAAUACCGCAUAACGUCGCAAGACCAAAGAGGGGGACCUUCGGGCCUCUUGCCAUCAGAUGUGCCCAGAUGGGAUUAGCUAGUAGGUGGGGUAACGGCUCACCUAGGCGACGAUCCCUAGCUGGUCUGAGAGGAUGACCAGCCACACUGGAACUGAGACACGGUCCAGACUCCUACGGGAGGCAGCAGUGGGGAAUAUUGCACAAUGGGCGCAAGCCUGAUGCAGCCAUGCCGCGUGUGUGAAGAAGGCCUUCGGGUUGUAAAGCACUUUCAGCGAGGAGGAAGGUGGUGAACUUAAUACGUUCAUCAAUUGACGUUACUCGCAGAAGAAGCACCGGCUAACUCCGUGCCAGCAGCCGCGGUAAUACGGAGGGUGCAAGCGUUAAUCGGAAUUACUGGGCGUAAAGCGCACGCAGGCGGUUUGUUAAGUCAGAUGUGAAAUCCCCGGGCUCAACCUGGGAACUGCAUUUGAAACUGGCAAGCUAGAGUCUCGUAGAGGGGGGUAGAAUUCCAGGUGUAGCGGUGAAAUGCGUAGAGAUCUGGAGGAAUACCGGUGGCGAAGGCG
rnacentral:rRNA from 1 species